UGCGAAUGGCUCAUUAAAUCAGCUAUGGUUUAUUGGACUGUGCCCGUUAAAUGGAUAACUGUAAUAACUCUAGAGCUAAUACAUGCCGAUAUGCCCUGACCUUCACGGGAAUGGGUGCACUUAUUAGUACACAAGCCAACCGGGCAGUGGGUGGGGGCCUCGUGCUCCCUCCCCGCCUGCCCGCAAACUGUUUGGUGAAUCUGGAUAAUUGUUACAGAUCGCAGUCGACCUUGAGUCGGCGACGGGUCCUUCAAAUGUCUGCCCUAUCAACUUUCGAUGGUAGGUGACCUGCCUACCAUGGUGAUAACGGGUAACGGGGAAUCAGGGUUCGAUUCCGGAGAGGGAGCCUGAGAAAUGGCUACCACUUCCAAGGAAGGCAGCAGGCGCGCAAAUUACCCAAUCCCGGCACGGGGAGGUGGUGACGAAAAAUACUGAUACGGGACUUUUCUAAAGCUCCGUAAUCGGAAUGAGUGAAAUUUAAAUCCUUUAACGAGGAUCAAUUGGAGGGCAAGUCUGGUGCCAGCAGCCGCGGUAACUCCAGCUCCAAUAGCGUAUAUUAAAGUUGCUGCAGUUAAAAAGCUCGUAGUUGGAUCUCGGUAUCACUGCCACUUGCCGUGUCUCCUGCUCUCGGUUGACGCAAGGGCUUCAGUCUGGGCCGCAGACCGGUCACAUCUUUUGUGGCCACUGCGACUCCUGAUGCCCGUCUCCGUGGGUCGAGCCGAUGCCAGCGACGGUGUGACCUUUCAGCCAUGUCUGUGACCCUACUCACAGGUGUGUACGAGUUUCAGGCGGUGCUCUGCCAUGUUGUAGAGUUCGUCAGCUCGUCUGCAUGCCCUCAGAUGCCCUUAAUCGGGUGUCUGGAGGCGGAUGGCACGUUUACUUUGAACAAAUUUGAGUGCUCAAACCAGGCCGAUGUUGCCUGAAAAGUUUUGCAUGGAAUAAUGGAAUAGGACUUCGGUUCUAUUUCGUUGGUUUUCGGAUCCGAAGUAAUGAUCAAAAGAGACAGGCGGGGACGUUUGUAUGGCGGCGAUAGAGGUGAAAUUCAUUGACCGUCGCCAGACAGACUAAAGCGAAAGCAUUCGUCAAGCAUGUUUUCAUUGACCAUGAGCAAAAGUCAGAGGCUCGAAGACGAUCAGAUACCGUCGUAGUUCUGACCAUAAACGAUGCCAACUGACGAUCUGUGACGGAUACCUUUAGUUUCCCACAGGCAGUCCCCGGGAAACCUUUAAGUCUUUGGGUUCCGGGGGAAGUAUGGUUGCAAAGCUGAAACUUAAAGGAAUUGACGGAAGGGCACCACCAGGAGUGGAGCCUGCGGCUUAAUUCGACUCAACACGGGAAAACUCACCCGGCCCGGACACUGUGAGGAUUGACAGAUUGACAGAUCUUUCAUGAUUCGGUGGUUGGUGGUGCAUGGCCGUUCUUAGUUGGUGGAGCGAUUUGUCUGGUUAAUUCCGAUAACGAACGAGACUCUAGCCUGCUAAUUAGUGCGUCUGUCCUCUGUAUCUGUGCUCUCGGCGGUACGGUGUUGCUGCCUAAUUUUCGUAAUUCACUGCUCGCCUUGCUCUCCCCUCGGCAUGGCAAUGUUUGGUGCUGGCUGGCUGCAGGACCGAUGACUGGCUCGCUGGGCCAGGCCUGUGCGACAGGCCAAACUGGUGUUCGGUCAAGCCUCCUGUUGCGCCGCCUCAUUCAGCCUGUUUAGGGGGGGUGAGCGCCUAGGGGUUGUAGUGUUGCGGUUGGGCAGAUAGCCGGAUGCCUUUUGCUGGGUACGGCGCAGGCGACUACUUUUUAGAGGGACCGGCAGUCUUUUAAACUGCACGAAAUUGAGCAAUAACAGGUCUGUGAUGCCCUUAGAUGUCCGGGGCCGCACGCGCGCUACAAUGACGGUACCAGCGAGUUUGAACUCCUCACCCGGAAGGGUUGGGCAAACUGUUCAAUUACCGUCGUGACAGGAAUCGGGGCUUGGAAUUGUUCCCCGUGAACGAGGAAUUCCUAGUAAGUGCAAGUCAUAAGCUUGCGCUGAUUACGUCCCUGCCCUUUGUACACACCGCCCGUCGCUACUACCGAUUGAAUGGUUUAGCGAGGUCAUUGGAUUGGCCCCAUUGUGGCAGGCCGCCGAGAGGUGUCUACCCGACAGGUGCUGAGAAGAUGACCAAACUUGAUCAUUUAGAGGAAGUAAAAGUCGUAACAAGAGGG
rnacentral:rRNA from 1 species